rnacentral:rRNA from 1 species
UGCAGUCGAGGGGUAUGCUUCUUCGGAANCAGAGACCGGCGCACGGGUGCGUAACGCGUAUGCAAUCUACCUUUCACAGAGGGAUAGCCCAGAGAAAUUUGGAUUAAUACCUCAUAGUAUAGCAGUUUCGCAUGAAACCACUAUUAAAGUCACAACGGUGAAAGAUGAGCAUGCGUCCCAUUAGCUAGUUGGUAAGGUAACGGCUUACCAAGGCAACGAUGGGUAGGGGUCCUGAGAGGGAGAUCCCCCACACUGGUACUGAGACACGGACCAGACUCCUACGGGAGGCAGCAGUGAGGAAUAUUGGACAAUGGGCGCAAGCCUGAUCCAGCCAUGCCGCGUGCAGGAUGACGGUCCUAUGGAUUGUAAACUGCUUUUAUACGAGAAGAAACACUCCGACGUGUCGGAGCUUGACGGUAUCGUAAGAAUAAGGAUCGGCUAACUCCGUGCCAGCAGCCGCGGUAAUACGGAGGAUCCAAGCGUUAUCCGGAAUCAUUGGGUUUAAAGGGUCCGUAGGCGGUCAGGUAAGUCAGUGGUGAAAGCCCAUCGCUCAACGGUGGAACGGCCAUUGAUACUGUCUGACUUGAAUUAUUAGGAAGUAACUAGAAUAUGUAGUGUAGCGGUGAAAUGCUUAGAGAUUACAUGGAAUACCAAUUGCGAAGGCAGGUUACUACUAAUGGAUUGACGCUGAUGGACGAAAGCGUGGGUAGCGAACAGGAUUAGAUACCCUGGUAGUCCACGCCGUAAACGAUGGAUACUAGCUGUUGGGAGCAAUCUCAGUGGCUAAGCGAAAGUGAUAAGUAUCCCACCUGGGGAGUACGUUCGCAAGAAUGAAACUCAAAGGAAUUGACGGGGGCCCGCACAAGCGGUGGAGCAUGUGGUUUAAUUCGAUGAUACGCGAGGAACCUUACCAAGGCUUAAAUGUAGAUUGACCGGUUUGGAAACAGACUUUUCGCAAGACAAUUUACAAGGUGCUGCAUGGUUGUCGUCAGCUCGUGCCGUGAGGUGUCAGGUUAAGUCCUAUAACGAGCGCAACCCCUGUUGUUAGUUGCCAGCGAGUCAAGUCGGGAACUCUAACAAGACUGCCAGUGCAAACUGUGAGGAAGGUGGGGAUGACRUCAAAUCAUCACGGCCCUUACGCCUUGGGCUAC